CCAACCACGUAACCACCAAACGUCGACCUCGAAUCAGGUAGGGAUACCCGCUGAACUUAAGCAUAUCAAUAAGCGGAGGAAAAGAAACCAACAGGGAUUGCCUCAGUAACGGCGAGUGAAGCGGCAACAGCUCAAAUUUGAAAUCUGGCGUCCUCGGCGCCCGAGUUGUAAUUUGCAGAGGAUGCUUCGGCGUAGGCGCCGCCCAAGGUUCCUUGGAACGGGACGUCGCAGAGGGUGAGAGCCCCGUGUUCGGGCGGAUGCCUUCGCCGUGUGAAGCUCCUUCGACGAGUCGAGUUGUUUGGGAAUGCAGCUCAAAACGGGAGGUAAAUUUCUUCCAAAGCUAAAUACCGGCCGGAGACCGAUAGUGCACAAGUAGAGUGAUCGAAAGAUGAAAAGCACUUUGGAAAGAGAGUCAAACAGCGCGUGAAAUUGUUAAAAGGGAAGCGCUUGCGGUCAGAACUUGGCCGCCGUUGCUCGGGGAGGUCUCGCGCCUCCCUCGCUCUUCGGCGGCUGGGCCAGCAUCGGUUCGGGCGGCUCGAGAAAGGUCGCGGGAACGUGGCUCNNNCCGGGGAGUGUUAUAGCCCGCGGCGCAAUAGGGCCCGCCUGGACCGAG
rnacentral:misc_RNA from 1 species